rnacentral:lncRNA from 1 species
UUGGAUCAGAAAUCGGCGAUCCAAUUUAAACUUACUCGUUUUUCAUUAAUCUGCGUUAUUAGUCUUCUGAUUUUUAUAAGCGGUGGUAAUAAUUAUAGGUUAUAGGUAUAUAGGUUACAACAAUUUAUAGGUGUAAAAGGCUUUUUAGGGUUAUAGGUACAGAGUCUAUGUUUAGGGUUAAUAAAUAUCCCCAUCUACUUCCUUUCUUUCUUUUCAAUCCACCGACGUUCUCUCCGCCGACUUUCUUUCUUUCUCUCCGCCGACUACCUUUCUUUCUCUCCGCCGACCUUCGGGUGUGCGAUUUUCUGUUUCCUAUUCUUUCUGAUUUUCUGGUUCGUUUUCUUUCAAUGGGUUGUUGUCCAGUUU